GGGCCCGCACAAGCGGUGGAGUAUGUGGUUUAAUUCGAUGCAACGCGAAGAACCUUACCAGGGUUUGACAUCCUGCGAAUCUCUUGGAAACAGGAGAGUGCCUUCGGGAACGCAGUGACAGGUGGUGCAUGGCUGUCGUCAGCUCGUGUCGUGAGAUGUUGGGUUAAGUCCCGCAACGAGCGCAACCCACGUCUUUAGUUGCCAGCAGUUCGGCUGGGCACUCUAAGGAUACUGCCAGUGACAAACUGGAGGAAGGCGGGGACGACGUCAAGUCAUCAUGGCCCUUACGACCAGGGCUACACACGUGCUACAAUGGUAGGUACAGAGGGCAGCUACACAGCGAUGUGAUGCGAAUCUCAAAAAGCCUAUCGUAGUCCAGAUUGGAGUCUGCAACUCGACUCCAUGAAGUAGGAAUCGCUAGUAAUCG
rnacentral:rRNA from 1 species